rnacentral:rRNA from 1 species
AGACUGGCGCUGAAUAGCGGCAAACGGGUGAGUAACACGUGAGAAAUUUUCCCUUAAGUCGAACAUAGCUUUGUGAAAACGGAGGUAAUAUUCGAUAUGGCCCUUGAGUCUCAUGAUUCGAGGGUUAAAGGUGGGGACCUUCGGGCCUACCGCUUUUGGAUGAUCUCGUGGCCUAUCAGCUUGUUGGUAGGGUAAAGGCCUACCAAGGCGUAUGACGGGUAGCUGGUCUGAGAGGAUGGUCAGCCACACUGGGACUGAGACACUGCCCAGACUCCUACGGGAGGCUGCAGUCGAGAAUCUUUAGCAAUGGACGAAAGUCUGACUACGCGACGCCGCGUGCAGGAUGAAGGUUUUCGGAUCGUAAACUGCUUUUGUCAGGAAAGAAAAUUCUCAACUCUAACAGAGUUGAGGACUGACGGUACCUGACGAAUAAGCCACGGCCAACUCCGUGCCAGCAGCCGCGGUAAUACGGAGGUGGCAAGCGUUACUCGGAAUUAUUGGGUGUAAAGGGCAAGUAGGCGGCCUAUUAAGUGAGGGGUGAAAUCUUCCGACUCAAUCGGAAAAUUGCCUUUCAAACUAAUAGACUUGAGAUUGGAGGAGGGAAACGGAAUUAGCAGUGUAAGGGUGAAAUCUGUAGAUAUUGCUAAGAACACCGGCGGCGAAGGCGGUUUCCUGGUCCAAAUCUGACGCUAAAUUGCGAAAGCUAGGGGAGCAAACAGAAUUAGAUACUCUGGUAGUCCUAGCUGUAAACGAUGAGCACUAGGUGUUGGUCCCUUGGGAUCAGUGCCGCAGCUAACGCAUUAAGUGCUCCACCUGGGGACUACGGCCGCAAGGCUAAAACUCAAAGGAAUUGACGGGGACCCGCACAAGCGGUGGAACAUGUGGUUUAAUUCGAUGCUACGCGGAAGAAUCCUCACCAAGGCUUGACUUGCUCGUCGUAUCUUUCUGAAAGGGGAGAGUCAUUAGUGGACGAUACACAGGUGCUGCAUGGCUGUCGUCAGCUCGGGUCGUGGAGAUGUUGGGUAGUCCCGCACGAGCGCAACCAUGCCUCAUGUUGC